rnacentral:lncRNA from 1 species
AGAUGAGGCUGCAAUUGACAACAGGAAAGUUUAUAGUCCUAAUUGCAUACAGAGCACAUCCCUUAACGCACUUACAGGGGAGACAUUGCCAAUUCCCUUUUACAGUUCAAAAAGGGACCAUUAGACCUUUGUGCCCAGAACACAAGAAAGGUGAAGAAGAGAUGGAAAGCAGGAUGCCAAUGAGAGCUGAGGAGACAAGAGUGUUUGCAGCUCCUGUGGCAGUAUCUUUCAGGUGA